UGGGCGUCUGCUACUGACUUGAAACAUGAAAAUAAUCUUGAAAUGAAUACACUCGUUCUCCAGGUGGGUGCCUGCUACUGACUUGAAACUUGAAGUUAAUUGUGAAAUAAAUACCCUCGUUCUCUAGGUGGGUGCCUGCUACUAACUUGAAAUUUGAAAUUAAUUCCCGCAUUCUCCACGUGGGUGCCUGCAAUCACAAUGAAAAAGACAGAAUAAAGGAAUCUUUUUGCCCCAGUUUGUACUAGGAACAUUUGAGAGUGUUAGCCGAAUCCCAUUAUCCAAAAGGGUUCUAAGAAUAUACAAGCUAAAUUCCAUUAUCUAGGAGGGUCCUGAAGACUUAAAAUUAAAUCUCAUUAUCCAGGAGGGUUCUGAGAACUUAAAAUUAAAUUUCAUUAUCUAGGAGGGUCCUGAAGACUUAAAAUUAAAUUCCAUUAUCCUGGAGGGUCCUGAGAACUUAAAAUUAAACCUCAUUAUCUAGGAGGGUCAUGAAAACCUAAAACUAAAUUCCAUUAUCCAGGAGGGUCCUGAAAACUUGAAGGUUAACUUACCUGAAACUUUGCUUUUCCCACAGAGGUUACUUGCAAAACGAACACAAUUUUCCGCCCCUGUUUCAAUCAAAUAAAAUUGGUGAGUUUGAAAAUAUGGUGGUUAGUUUGUGGCAUUGUCUCUGAACGUGCCUGCUUUUGCAAUUAUCAUGCUUCAUCCUGAUUAGUUGCUUCAAGCUGACAAGGAUUUGUUUGACUUUCUGAUCGAACCUCGCCCACAAAAACUUGUGAAUGACACGAAUCCCUUAAAUUCACUUGUUGCAUUGUGUUUCCAUUCUGACAAUUGUUGAGCCUUUGUAUUUUCUCAAAACUCAAGAAUCACUUGAUCACCUGAACUUCAGUUAUCACCACAUUACUCCUUCUCAAUCAUGUCACUUGCGAUGUGCUUGGCCGAACUUUGCUUUGUGCAAUAAAAAAGCUGGUAGUAGACUUUGAAGUCCUUUCUUGCUUGUUUAACAAAGACUAACUUGAAAGAGACUCAGAAAAAUAGAACCAAAAGAACAAAGUGAAGUAACUUUAAGAAUUAGGAAUAAAAAAGGAAAAGUUUAAACAAAGAUGACUAUUUGAAGAAGAGUGGAAAAGAGACUUAUUUGAAUGAAGCAGCUGUCUCCAAUGAUCAUGACAUGAAUUUUGGAUUGAUUAGCUAAAUCCAUCCAACCAAUCACACUUUCAGUGUCAUGGCUUCAUACUUCAAAACUGGGCUUUCAAUGAUCUAACUUCUCUAUAAAGUCCACAAUACUCAUUCGACGUGUAGUGUCCCGAAGGGUUUUUAACAUCAAACCUCUCUCAUUUGUUCAUCUCUUAACUCACCAUCGCCUUACGGUGCCCGUGAGGGUUUUUAUCAAUAAGACUCACUCAUUUUAAUUUUUCUCUCGACUCACCAUCGCCUUACAGUACCCGUGAGGGUUUUCACUAAUAAGACUCUUUCAUUUUAUUCAUUUUUUCUUGUGCCUAUUAACAAAAUCAUACAUCUAACUCACGCUUGACUUGGCAUUCUCAAAGAUUGAUCAGAAGGUCUUUCUUUAGAUCGUAAUGUAGGCUUUUGGUCAAGGUUAGAAAUAAAGGGUGGCAUGAGGCUCAAAAUAAUUUAGGAUGAAAAAGGUUUAAAAUUACAACUUUUGGAAUCAGAUCUUAUAGCAAAACUAAAACUUCUGCCCCAGUUUCUUUGGGAUUGGGAAAUUUUAGAUUUUUAUUUUGGUGGGACCGAACCUCAGAGUAAGGCUGCCUACGUAUCCUUUAAAGGAAUCAGGUCUAACGUAGUUCUAACUAUAAUUCGUUUUGUUUUGUUUUUUAUUUUUCGUUCUCUUUUUUUUUUUUUCUUCUCUUUUUCUACUUCUUUUUACCUUAUUUUCUUUUUCCUUUCUUUACUAUUUUUCUAUUUUCUGGCCUAUUUUUUAUUUCAAAAGAGGGGUGUGAAAGAAAAUAAAUUAAGGAUCAAAAGGGGUAACAAAGGAUAAAAGUGUUUGGGUAGCAGAAUGAAAUGCUUUUGUCAUUCCAACUUUGAACAUGCCAAGUACAAAAUAUGCAAUUGAAGAUAAGCAAAUAAAUCAUACAUAAUAUAUCUUGACUGCAUCAGAAUUGAUAGUCAUUUCCACAAUUUUGCCUUUUAUGCGUGUUAAAUAUAAAGCACCAUUGGGCAACACUCCUGUCACAAUGAAUGACCCCUGUCUGUUUGGGGCGAACUUUCCUUUAGCUUCAGCCUGAUAUGGAAGGAUGUGUUUCAAUACUAGCUGGCCCACUUCAAAUUUUCGGGGACGCACCUUCUUGUUGCAUGUUCUUUACAUUCUCUUCUGAUACAAUUGACUAUGGCACACUAUUGCCAAUCUUUUCUCGUCAAUCAAACUCAGCUGCUCCAGCCGGGUUUUGACCCACUCAUCAUCAUCGAUUUCAGCUUCUGCGACGAUCCGAAGGGAUGGGAUCUCUACCUCCACAGGUAUAACUGCCUCGGUUCCAUAUACCAACAAAUAAGGAGUUGCACCUACCGAAGUGCGAAUGGUAGUGCGAUAGCCCAGCAAAGCUAAAGGCAGUUUUUCAUGCCACUGUCUAGAACCUUGCACUAUUUUGCGAAGUAUCUUCUUUAUGUUCUUGUUAGCAGCUUCAACAGCUCCAUUUUUCUUGGGACGAUACGGAGUGGAAUUUUGAUGCAUAAUCUUAAACUGUUGGCAUACCUCUUUCAUCAAAUGACCGUUGAGAUUAGUAGCACUGUCUGUGAUGAUUACCUUGGGAAUUCAAAAACCGGCAAAUGAUAUUUGAAUGAACAAAAUCUACCAUCGCCUUCUUAGGAACGGACUUGAAAGCUACUGCUUUCACCCAUUUGGUGAAGUAAUCAAUGGCCACCAGAAUAAACCUAUAUCCAUUUGACGUUGCCGGCUCAAUUGGUCUGAUAACAUCCAUGCCCUAAGCAACAAAGGGCCAAGGUACAAACAUGGUGUACAACUCAGAUGAAGGAGAAUGAAUCAAAUCACAGUGCACCUAGCAUUGGUGACACUUAUGAACAAAGCUGAUGCAAUCUCGUUCCAUCGUGAGCCAAUAAUAACCUACUCGAAGAAUCUUCUUUGCCAAGACAAACCCAUUUAUAUGUGGCCUGCAAACUCCAGAAUGUACUUCAGUCAUGACAGUUGAAGCUCCUUUUGCAUCCACGCACCUUAGCAGUCCUAAGUCUGGAGUCCUCUUGAAGAAGAUUCCCCCAUUUAAGAAACAUCCAAUAUCCAGACGCCGAAUGGUUCUCUUUUGAUCACCUGUGGCAUGUACCGGAUAUACCUCGGACUUGAUGUAUUCCUUAAUAUCAUGGAACCAAGGUUCACCAUCAAGUUAUAUUUCAAUCAUAUUACAAUAAGCAUGUUGAUCACGAACUUAGAUAUGCAAAGGGUUAACAUAAGUCUUAUCCGGAUGGUGUAGCAUUGAAGCCAAAGUAGCCAAUGCAUCGGCAAUCUCAUUAUGGAUCUGGGGAAUGUGUUUGAAUUCUACUGACCUAAAUCGUUGACAAAGAUCAUGCAGACAUUAUCAAUACGGUAUGAGCUUCAGGUCCCGAGUUUCCCAUUCUCCCUGAAUCUAGUGAACCAACAAAUCUGAAUCUCCCAAAACUAGUAUUUCCUGGAAUCUCAUGUCUACAGCUAACCUCAAACCCAAAAUGCAUGCUUUGUACUCGGCCAUGUUAUUGGUGAAAAAACAUCAAAGCUAGGUUGUUACAGGGUAAUGUUGCCCUGUUUCAGAAAUAAGUACAUCCCCUAUCCCAACACCUUUCAUGUUAGCGGCUCCAUCGAAAAAGAGUUUCCAACCUGGCUUAAGAUCAACAUCAUUAACAUGUAACACACCUUCAUCGGGAAAAUAAGUCUUCAAUGGCUCAUAUUCUUCAUCCACCGGAUUCUCGGCCAAGUGGUCGGCUAAGGCUUGGGCUUUCAUCGCGGUCCGAUACACAUAGAUAAUGUCAAACUCCAUGAAUAAAAUCUGCCACUUCGCAAGUCUACCCGUGGGCAUAGGCUUCUGAAAGAUAUACUUUAGAGGAUCCAUGCGGGAAAUGAGGUAAGUAGUGUAGGACGAAAGAUAAUGCUUCAAAUUUUGUGUCACACAAGUCAGGGCACAACAUAUCCUUUCAAGAAGAGAAUACUUAACCUCAUAAGGAGUGCACUUCUUACUGAUAUAAUAGAUUGCUUGCUCUUUCUUGCCCGUGAUGUCACGUUAACCCAGUACGCAACCAAAAGAAUUAUCCAGGACUAUCAAAUACUGGAUCAAAGGCCUCUCAGGCUCGGGCGGGACCAGCACAGGUGGGUUCGAUAGGUACCUCUUGAUAUUACCAAAUGCUUUUUGGCACUCGUCAGUCCACUCAACCAUGGCAUUCUUCUUCAGCAACUUAAAGAUGGGUUCACAGGUUGUCGUGAGUUGAGCAAUAAACCUGCUGAUGCAAUUUAAUCUUUCGAUCAGGCUCAUCACCUCGGUUUUAUACUUUGGCUGUGGUAACUCUUGGAUGGUGAUCACGUCCAUAGCACACCUCAAUAGAGAUAUAAAAUAGUCGUAUGCAAUAAUAAGUACCCAACUAGGAGUCGGGGUCGAAUCCACUGGGAGCUAGGAUGGGAGUUAGGGGUAUAUAUUUCAAAUGAGCAAUUGAAUUAUCUAGAUUACACUUCCACAACAAGGAUUUGUUUUCUAUUUCUACUGUUAAUCUAAUAAAUGCAAGAUAAAGAAAGUAGACUAGAGAUAAUUAUUUUAAAGGUUUUUCUAAAUAGGUAAAAGGCCUAGGGCUGUGACCAUAACCUAGGUGUUUGCCUAAUGGGAUAAAAACGUUAAUGCUUAUUUUGUUGAUUGGGGUGUAUUAUAGCUCUCAACUCUACAUUACCCACUCAAUACCUCUCGGUCAGAGAGUAGUUUUGCCCAAUUUGGCUUUCUCAAGACCAUAUGGGAAUCACCCAAAACAGUUGAUAAGAGCUCAAGUUGGGUUAUUACUAUCUCUAAUUAAUCAAUCUCUCAAUUGAGCCAAUUCCUUGUUAGCUAAUUAUCCUAGACUAGGUCCCUCUUUCUCAAGUAGAGACUAAGUCAAAUAGGCAUGAAUUAAUGUUUGAAACCAUUAAGUCUACAAUUAAAUCAUGAACUAAGAUAAAUAACCAGCACCCAAUCAUAAAUAAGCACUAAAUUAGAUACCCAUAAGGUUUACACAUUAGGGUUGGGUCACAACCCUAGUAAAAGUCUAGCUACUCAUAAUGGGAUUUGAAGAAAAUAAGGAAGAAAAACUAAUUAAACUCAUAAUGAAAGCUUAAAAUAAUUAAAUCUAAUGUAAAUACACCAAAGUAAUAUAAAAUUUCCUAAAGUAGUAAAGAAAAACGGCUACAACAACUUCAGAUGUUCAAACUUGACAUAGUUUUGUGAAACUUGUCUAUUUAUACAAGGCUGAAAAUCUCGUACAAAAAUACCCCUCAGGAGGUUUUGCAGCCGCACAAUUCCAUAUGCGGUCCGCAUAUUUCUUCAUCUGGCAGGAAGUGGAGUUCUGCGGCCGUACAUUUCUGAACUGCGGUUAUGAAGCAAUCUUCUGUGGCCGCACAUUUCUGGGCUGCGGCCACACAAUUCUUAUGCGGUACACAAUUCACAGAGGCUUCUGGACUUGGUCUUUUUGCAUACUCUCUGAUCUUCGACUCUUAGCCCAGUUUUGCGGCCGCACAAUUCAUGGGCGGUCCGCACUUUGCGCAAAGUUCUGCUAAACUUCUCUCCUUGGUUUAUGGCGGCAGAUUUAAUUCUGCAGUCCGUAAUUUCUUCUGUGGACCGCACAUUUGUGCUUAUGCGCCCUUUAUUGCCUUGUUCUUUAGAACACUCCUUUUUUAGUCGGAUUUUAUCUCGGGAGACCAAACUUCCAGCAUACGUGCAAUUUUGCAAAAUUUUAUUAGUUUCGAGAACACAAUUCAAUGCUUUUGGACUAAAACAAAAGCUAAAAGGUAUUAAUAAGUAGUCAAAAUUUCCACUUAUCAUAUGGAUUUGAUCUUCGACGGAUCUAACUUAAUACCGUGUCGACUAACCACGAAUCUUAACAGCUUCCCAGAGGGAACACCAAUUGCGCAUUUUGCUGGAUUGAGCUUGAGGUUAUAACUGUGGAGCCUUUGGAAAAAUAUCCUCAAAUCCUUGACAUGGUCAGACUACUUCUUUGACUUUAUGAUCACAUCAUCCACAUAAACCUCAAUCUCUCUAUGUAUCAUGUCAUGAAAUAUGGUAGUCAUUGCCUUUAUGUAAGUUGCCCCAUCAUUCUUCAAUCAAAUGGCAUUACCCGGUAGUAAUAUAUAUCCCAUGGUGUGAUAAACGCUGUCUUUUCUGCAUCUUCCUCAUCCAUCAGGAUCUGAUGAUAUCCCGCGUAGCAAUCCACAAAAGACCCAAUCUCAUGCUUGGCAUAAUUAUCGAUCAGAAUGUGGAUGUUUGGCAAUGGAAAAUUAUCUUUUGGGCUUGCCUUGGUAAGAUCACGAUAAUCAACACAUACCCUGGUCUUACCAUGCUUUUUCGGUACUGGCACAACAUUAGCUAACCAAGUGGGAUAUUGAAUGACCCGAAUGACCUUUGCCCCAAGUUUCUUUUUGAUUUCUUCUUUAAUCUUCAUACUCAUGUCUGUCUUAAACUUUCUUAAAUUUUGUUUGACAUGAGGGAAUGCAGGAUUAGUUGGUAAUUUAUGAACUACCAAAUCAGUAUUUAAGCCCGGCAUAUCGUCAUAUGACCAUACAAAGACAUCUUUGUACUCAAACAGUGCUUUAAUUAUUUCUUCCUUGACUUGCGGUUCUAGAUUCACACUUAUCUUAGUCUCCCUGAUAUUGUCCUGGUCUCCUAAAUUGAUUGCUUCAGUGUCAUUCAAGUUAGGCUUUGGUUUCUCUUCAAAAUGUUUUAGCUCUUUACUUAUUUCUUCAAAUGCUGCUUCUUCAUCAUAUUCUACUUCUUGGAUCAUUAUUUCAAGAUUAGACUGGCUUUUAAGACUUGGCUAAAAAUUCCUCAUGCAUGUCAUGUUAUUAGAACUAGCAUAAAAAAACUGUACAAAAGAAAAACAAAAUGAAACACUAUUAGGAAUAACGAAAAAUGGGAAAAUAGCAUUUCAUUGAAAAUAAAAGGAUAGAAGGGUUUGAACAUCAAAAUAAGCAAAAGUAAAAAUCUAGGCUACAACCCUGGAAUAACCCAGAUAACAAAAAGGAAAACAAAGCAAACUACCAAAACUCCUUUCGGGUGGGGAGAGAAGUAGCUUCCCAAUUGCUGAGCUUCACAUCUGGCCUAAUGAGUUGCACAUCUGUGUUACUAGAAUCUUCCCAAAUUUCCACCAUAUUAACCUCAUCAAACUGACUCUAGAACCUCAUGAUCAGCUCUUUAUCAACAUCGACUAUAGGUUUCGAGACUGAUGAUAUUGGACGUUUUGUGACCCAUGGCUUGACAAAAGACUUGGAGAUGUGUGGAACAGGCUUGGUGAGCGGCCAUACCUUCUACUUCUUCUUUUUAGACCUUUUUACGUCCCUCUCUGUGGGCGUGAAUCCCAAACCAAACGUACCAAAGUUUUUACGUGGGCUUACCGGAUGCACAAUACCCAGUAGAUAUGAACCAGACUAUUACCUUUCAACAUUUCAUUCGCUAAUAUGAUGGACGCGGAGGAUAGCCUCGGACCUGGAAUGCAUUCUCCCUCGGGAAUAUUCGCAACAGAUACUGUUUCGAAAGUUUGGUAGACCUAAGGUCCUUUGUCAUCUUCUGCUUCAAUAAAUAGAACAGACGGGUCAUUAUAAGCUGAUAUGUCCACAUCACCAUACACAACUAUUUCAUGCCUAUCCCAUUCAAAUUUUACCAUUUGAUGCAGAGAAGAUGGGACUGGCUUAGCCGCAUGUAUCCAGGGCCUGCCCAACAACAGAUUGUAGGAGACAGCUACAUCUAGAACUUGAAUUUCAUAGUGAACUCAACUGGCCCUAUUGACAAUUCGAGCAUUAUAUGACCGAUAGAAGCUUUCCCUCCCCCAUCAAAGCCUCAAACACAUACACUGUCAUGUGGAUUCUUUCAGUACCGAUCUUCAACUUUUGAAAAGUAGACAAAGGGAAAAUAUUUAAACUAGAACCGUUAUCAACCAGUACCCUCGAGAUAACAGAAUCCUCGCAUUUCACCGUAAGAUAAAGAGCUCGAUUGUGUUCUAUACCCUCCAUAAGAAGUUCAUCAUCUGAGAAAGUGAUCAUAUUUGCUUCGAAGAUCUUGUUAGCAAUCUUUUCCAAGUGAUUCACCGUGAUCUUAUCAGGAACAUGUGCCACAUUCAAAAUCUUUAUCAUGGCUUUGCAGUGGUCAUCUAAAUGUAUUAGUAAAGACAAAAGAGAGAUCUUAGCCGGUGUUUUCCCUAAUUGCUCCACAAUGGAAUAGUCUUGCACUUUCAUCUUUUUCGGGAACUCUUCAGGCUCUUCUUCGGUGACUGGCUUCUUUACUGACAUUUGGCUAUCCUUGAACAGCUUGGCCUUCCUCAAUUCUUCUAAGGUAAAACACCUCCCAGAACGAGUCAGUCCUCCAGUUUCAUUGACUUCUUCCUCCACUUCUUUCCCUUUAUAUGUCACUAUCACUUAUUUGUAAUUCCACGGGACAACCUUUGUAUCAACCACUGGAAAUUGGGUCACCGGCUUAAUAACAACAGAGGUAAUAGGAGCCCCUUUCAUGACUACGACAGGCUUGCUCGGGAUCCCUGGCAUAACUACUUUUGGCUUUUCCUGACUUUCCCCAACAUCCUUCAAAGGCCCUUCACAACCAACACAGGUGGCUUCAUGUUGAGCUUUCUUAGUUUCUCUAUUACCCCUUCAACUGUCAAGGGCAUUGCUUUUAUAGAGUCUAGAGCCUUAACUGAAUUACUAGCAGGAAUCAUUGAUGUUUGGCUAUAAUUUCAUAUUUUUAGCGCAUUAUUUACCUUACAUUUUAGGUACUUUAAUGCUAAACUAUAAUAUAUUUGUGCUUAAUUGAGUCUAUUUUAUGUGUAGGUACAUGGAAGACGAAAUUGGGAGCAAAGUAUAGAUUUUAUGUGUAUUUUAUACACUACAAGAAUGAAGUAUGAUUAUUUAAUUAGUAGGCAUUUAAUUACAGAGGAAGACAAAAGUGUAACCAAUGCAAAAGAAGAAAAAAAAAAGAAACAAAGCAAGAAUUGAAAGUGGAACGAAAGAAGAAAGAAAGGAUUGCAAAGAAAGAAAGAAAGAUUGAAACUUGAAAGUGGAACGAAGCAGUGAAAUAGGAAAGAAGAAAGACAAAGCAACAUAAUAAAAAAUGUAAGAAAAAGCAGGCGUAGCAAGCCAUUUUGAACGUGAUAUAGUGGGCGACGCAAGCUUUAUAGCUCGCUAUAGAGCAUGUGUCGCACAGUGAAAAGUGCGCGUAAGAGGUUGCGGCGCACUGGCUGAGGCGAGGUGGACCAGGCAUUUUGCCUCGCGAGGCGAGGCCUGUAGCGAGCGUGUUCCGAGUUUCUAAAGCCUAUUUUGUUUCCUAUUUGGUUUUGGACUUUAUUAUUACGUUUGGGUAUUUUCCCUACACAUAUAAAUAGACAUUAAACACCAUUCUUAAGGGAGUUUUGCGACCUAAGGCAAGAAUAUCACGUGGACAACUUGUGGAGGAGAAAAUCAUAGAGUUCUUCUUCUCUUUAUCUUUUCUUUGUAGUUUGUUUAUGCAAAAUACUUGGAACAUUAUUAUUACGAACAUGAUUUGCUAAAACCCAUCGUUCUGGGGUUGUGAUUUAGCCAUGAAUAUUGUUGUUUAACGUUGACUUAACCUUGAUUACAAUUCACUAAUAUAUGAUUGUUUCUUCAAUUCUGUGAUUAAUUGCUUAAUUGUCUGGCCAGCAGUUAGGUUCUAUUUACUACCUAUGCUAUACUUGGGAAAGCCGUGUUUAGAUUAGAGAAGAAUUGAAGAGAGCACGAUCUUAACUCUUGAGGGGGCGGAUUUGUGGUUAGGAUAGGAAUAUACCUAGUCACUGUGCUUAACUAAAUAUCAUAAUCUUAAUGCAUCCAUGAUAGAUUAAUUUCAUAGGAAUAUAGGCGUUAAUCUAUUUUGAAUAGGCGAGUAGUACUUCGGGAGAAGGCUAUGAAGGCAAUUGUUAAAUUAAUUAGCAACUAUGAGUGAAUUGUAUGAAAGAGAGAGUUAACUAGAACACAAUAGGAUUGGUGAAUAGAUCACAACCCUGGAAUAUUUGUCUCUGCUGAAUACACAAUUAUCUUACUACUUGAUAAUUUAGUUACUACUUAGAAUUAUAGUUUAGUAUAAUCAUAUUCUUGAACUCGAUUUUAGCUUGACUGAAAUCUUGGUGAUUUUAGUGAGUAGUGGAUACAAGUCUCUGUGGGUUCGACACUCAACUUAUCAUUUUAUUACUUGUACGACCACGAAUAUUUGCGUGUGCAUUUGGGAGCAACAAGUUUUUGACAUCGUUGCCGGGGACUUAGAAAUUAACUAUUUUACUAGAUUAGAUUUUUACUUUUUAUCUAUUUAAUUUUUUUAUUUUAGUUUAGUGUAGUUAGUAUUAUAUUAUUUUUUUACAUGGAAUCUUUGAACGAAAAGUGGUGGGAUAGUAAGUAUUCUUAUUUUUGUGAUCCUUGUCCAUAUUGUAAAGGACCCCACUUGUGGCAAUAUUGUAAAAAUAUUCCCAGAACCAUGUUGUGCGCACCAUCUCAAUCAUGUACUAUUUGUGGUGGUAACUGGAAUAAUUAUCCUAAGUGUUGUUAUCCUACUCCAAUCUCUUCUUAUGUUGAUUCUAAUAAUUCUUGUGAGUUUGACAGGAGUAACGGAUUUGAUGAUGUGGAACAUGAUAUUCGUAUUCUUGAUAUGCACAGGAAAUUAUUAGACGAAUAUGGAGGUUUUCAUGAGAAAAUUACAAAUGGGAUACAACACUUUAUAGAAGGAAGAGCUGAACUGGGACAAGAGAUCGACCAAUUUGGCAGUUCUAUUUGCGACUUAGAGGCUCAAUUGAGUGCAAAGAUUGAUGCGUGUAACACCCAUUAAUUUAGUGAUGAGUUGUGUGAAGUUGAAAAAGAUCUUCUAGGGCAAAUUGAGGAACUAAAACGAGAACACCAAUCAUUAGACCAUGAUUUUGUUGAUGAUGCGAGGUUGAGGAAGUGUGCAAAAUAGAGGAUGUCAAAAAUAAUGCAAUUUUGGAGUUGGACCGCAUUGGACCUCAUUCUAACUAUUUUUCAACAUUGUGUUUGGUUGGUGACAUGGGAAUUGAUCCAUUCGAGCAUAUGGAGGAGUCAGUGUAUGGGGAACAAAGUGCUUAUAUUCUAAAAUAUGUGAUGCCAAGGAGACAAAAUGACAUCCCUCACUUAAAGGCCAAGAAGUGCAAGAUGCGAUACAUAUUGCUUGGUUCCUUUAUUUUUACACAACCGCCCCAGGAACGUGAAAGAAAAAGUGAUGCAAAAUUGGGGGCGCAAUUCAUAUCCUCAAAGUGGAAGGGAAAGUGGUGAGAGUGAUGGCGCCAUGCCGCGACAUUAAAUCAAGCGCUUGUUGGGAGGCAACCCAAUUUUAUUUUUUAUUUUUUGUUUUGUUUUUUAAUUUAUUUAUUUUUUGUGUUAUCUUUGUAGUGUUGUUUUGUGUUUUGUAGGAGUAGGAGCAUGGAGUCAAAGGAAAUGGGCGAGUGCAAAAGCGAGCAGGAGGUUGAAACUGAGUGUGAGGUACCCACACAAGGGAUCAUACAGGGGAGAAGUCUGAGUAACCCGUGAGCUGCUAAUUCUUCGGUCUUUGGCCUACCAGGGAGUCUCUUUUACCCUCUUGUUAUUUAUAGUGUGCAUUGAGGACAUUGCACAAUUUUAAGUAUUGGGUGAGGAGAUUGUCUGGGUAUUUUUCUGUGCUAUCUUAGCUUAGUUGUACUACUCGUUCUUAGUGUAGUAAAAAAAAAUCAUAAAAUUUUGGACUUCUCCCGAUGAUGGAUCUCAUUCAACAGGUUUUUUGAGGGAUUUAAGUUGAAAUAAAGAAAAGACAAAGAUUUUCUUUUGUUAGGUAGUGUAAUAAUUUCCCCUUAGUUUUUCUUUGUGUCGCGGUUCUUUUCCAAGGGUUUUGUUUGAACCGGGUGUAGGUAGUUUUAUUUUUUUUAGGAGUAGGAGCCAUUGUGGGGUGAAUUGAAUUGAAUCAAUAUCUCUUGACUUUGUUAUGCCUUGAGAAUAGUGAGUACUUUGGUUGUGACGCUUAGGCUCAGUUUUUGACUUUUGUAUAAGUACCUUAAAUCGUAUGAUCUUAACUUUGCUUAACUGUUUUUACUAGAGUGUCUUGAUGAGUCCAAUAUUGUGUGAGUUAUGUGCCAUGUGUGCGUGAGGUUUGUGUGUUAUUUUGUGCAUUGCAUUUGAUGUCUAGAACUUGCCCCGUGUGUUUGCAAAGCGAAAGAGUAGUGUUAUUCAGUCUUGGAAGUGAUAUAGGUAUUUCUUUGUUGACCAUAUAUAUAUAGUUUACCCGUUUAAUUGUUAUGUAUCAUAGUUAUCCCCUUUGAGCCUGCAAUCCUGUUUCUUUGGCAACCACAUUACAAGCAUUACCCAUUUGUUUGAAUUUACCGUCUAUUUGAACCUUUUCAUCUCUCAUGAGCACUUGAAUUGUUAUGAACUUUGUAAAAAUUAAAGCGUGGGAUGGUUGGUUUAGCUUUUGAGUGGAACUAAUGAAAUAAAGAGAAAGGUGCAUUGUUGUGAAAAAAUAAGAAAAGCCACUUGAAUUGAAAAAGAAAGAAAGAAAAAAAUAGUUGUAUUACUGUGAAAAAUAGUCCUUGAUAGUGGUGACUCUUGAUGGAAUUGUGCUUAAAGAAAAAUUGAGUUAAUAUACAUUGAUAUGAAGGUGGAGUUAUGGUUUGACAUAAGUGUGGGGUUUAAAUGUUAAAGUGUAUGUAUUAAAGUGCUUAGGGAGGUGUAGCCACUCUUAUAUCCAAAUAUAUCAUACCCGACCUGCAGCCUACAUUACAACCAAUAAAAGUCCUACUUGAUCAUAUGCUGACUGAGCUCGAUUAGUAGAGUAGUACACUACGGGCAAGCCUAUGGUGCAUCUUUGUGGCAUAUGAAUGUUAUUUUUGAGAGUGAGUGAAUUUUUUCUAUCUUGAGUUCCUAAUUGUGCUUAAGUUUUUAUUGUGUGUGGAACUACUCUCUUUUGUUGUGUGAGGGCACUUGAUUCAUAAAGGAAAGGUAAUGUCAUUGACCUAUAUGUUAUAGUAAGUGAGUAAGUUGUAAAUAAUGUGUGGUACUUGUGAGUCAAAUCUUGAGGUGAAUAUGUUACACUCUUGUGAUUAGUCUAUUUUAAAGAUUCUUGGUGUGAUGAGUUAGGAGGAUUGUUUAAAAAGGUCGUGUCUAUAUAAAGUGUAGUUUGAUUGCUCGAGGACGAGCAACAUUUAAGUGUGGGGUAGUAAUGUUUGGCUAUAAUUCCAUAUUUUUAGUUACCCCACAUUACUUACCUUACAUUUUAGGUGCUUUAAUGUUAAACUAUAUUAUAUUUGUGCUUAAUUGAGUCUAUUUUACGUGUAGGUACGUGGAAGACGAAAUUGGGAGCAAAGUAGAAAUUUUAUGUGUAUUUUAUACACUACAAAAAUGAAGUAUGAGUAUUUAAUUAGUAGGUAUUUAAUUACAAAGGAAGACAAAAGUGUAACCAAUGCAAAAGAAGAAAAAAAAAAGAAACAAAGCAAGAAUUGAAAGUGGAACGAAAGAAGAAAGAAAGAAGAAUUGAAACUUGAAAGUGGAACGAAGCAGUGAAAUAGGAAAGAAGAAAGACAAAGCAACAGAAUCAAAAAUGUAAGCAAAAGCAAGCGUAGCAAGCCAUUUUGAAGGUGAUAUAGUGGGCGACGCGAGCAUUCUAGCACGCUAUAGAGCAUGCGUCGCACAGUGGAAAGUGCGCGUUAGAGGUUGCGGUGCACGGGCUGAGGCGAGGUGGACCAGGCAUUUUGCCUCGCGAGACGAGGCCUGUAGCGAGAGUGUUUCGAGUUUUUAAAGCCUAUUUUGUUUCCUAUUUGGUUUUGGACUUUGUUAUUUCAUUUGGGUCUUUUCCCUACACAUAUAAAUAGUCAUUAAAUACCAUUCUUAGGAGAGUUUUGUGACCUAAGGCAAGAAUAUAACGUGGACAACUUGUGGAGGAGAAAAUCAUAGAGUUCUUCUUCCCUUUAUCUUUUCUUUGUAGUUUGUUUAUGCAAACUACUUGGAAAAUUAUUAUUACGAACAUGAGUGGCUAAAACCCAUCGUUCUGGGGUUGUGAUUUAGCCAUGAAUAUUGUUGUUUAAUGUUGACUUAACCUCUAUUACAAUUCACUAAUAUAUAGUUGUUUCUUCAAUUCUGUGAUUAAUUGCUUAAUUAUCUGGCCAGCAGUUAGGUUCUAUUUACUAUCUAUGUUAUGCUUGGGAAAGUCGUGUUUAGAUUAGAGAAGAAUUGAAGAGAGCACGAUCUUAACUCUUAGGAGGGCGGAUUUGUGGUUAGGAUAGGAAUAUACCUAGUCACCGUGCUUAAUUAAAUAUCGUAAUCUUAAUGCGUUCUUGAUAGAUUGAUUCCAUAGGAAUAUAAGUGUUAAUCUAUUUUGAAUAGGCGAGUAGUACUUCGGGAGAAGGUUAUGAGAGCAACUGUUCGAUUAAUUAGCAACCAUGAGUGAAUUGUAUGAAAGGGAGAGUUAACUAGAACACAAUAGGAUUGGCGAAUCGAUCACAACCCUGGAAUAUCUGUCUCUACUGAAUACACAAUUAUCUUACUACUUGAUAAUUUAGUUACUACUUAGAAUUAUAGUUUAGUAUAAUCAUAUUCUUGAACUCGAUUUUGGCUUAACUGAAUAACAAUCUUGGUGAUUUUAGUGGGUAGUUGAUACAAGUCUCUUUGGGUUCGACACUCAACUUAUCAUUUUAUUACUUGUACGAUCACGUAUACUUGCGUAUGCGUUUGGGAGCGACAAGUUUUUGGCGCCGUCAUAACGGACUUGGAAGAAUUCCCGAACUCCCCAUCCUUACGAACUAGUUCAAUCAUGUGUGUCUCUGCAUGGGCUGGCAAUUUUGGUUGAUGUUUGGCGUAUUCGGGCUCUGGACUACAAUUUGAUUUGUGUCAAUAAGAUCUUGGAUUGCCCUCUCCAAAUUCCAACACUUCUUUAUGUCGUGCCCCGGGGCAUUAGAACAAUAUGUGCACCUCAGAGAAUAAUCAAGGUUCUUUGGGGGUGGAUUCGGUAUCUUUGCCUCAAUCGGCCUCAGCACAUCCAAUUACCUCAACCUUUGAAAUAAAUUGGCACAGGGCUCUCCAAGAGGGGUGAAAGUUUCUUUCUGUUGCUGCCUUUCUCUUUUAUACUCCGGCCUGGGUCGAAAGUUUAGGCCAGUAGGGUUUUGUUAGGGUUGUGGGGGUGGAUAAGGGUUUUGUGGGGCUGGCGCAUGCCAUUGCGGGUAAGGAGGGGGUUAAGCAUAUGAUUGUGCGUGGUGAACAUGGUACUAGGGUGGUCUGACUGAGUAUUGAGGGUCUUGUGGUGGGAAAUUAUGUUGGGGUGGAUUAUAUGGAGCUUGGGUGUAGUCUUGGGGUUGGGGUAGAGGCUGAGUGUACUGGUGAGGCAGACCCCUUGGGCCACGCCAUGGUCCAGAGAUAACCAUUGCAACAUCAUCAUUUUUCUUCUUGCCUAACAAACCUUCCAUUCUAGAUUGCCUGCGUGGUUGCUUUUAUAGUGGAGUAGCUCAUGAUCUUGCUUGACUUGAGUCCCUCAUCCGCCAUUUCUCCCAUCUUUACCACAUCAAUAAAGGCUUACCCAUGACUAAGAUCAAGUGGCCAAAGUAAGUAGGCUCUUAAGCUUGGAGAAAAUACUUAACCAUCUCGUCUCCAUCGGAGGAUUGACCUGGACAGCUUAUUCUCUCCAUCUGAUCUGUAUUCCCUAAAGCUUUCAUUAGGCUUCUUUUGCAUCUUGGUCAGGGACAGGCGAUCCAGGACAAUUUCUAUAUUGUACUGAAAGUGCCGGGAAAAGGCCUCAGCCAUAUCGUCCCAUAUGUACCACCUGCACGCAUCUUGUCGGGUGUACCAUUCCAAGGCAACACCAAUCAAGCUAUGACUAAAAUAGGCCAUUAACAGCUCGUCUUUCCCGCUGGCCCCUCUCAUCUUGCUACAAUAACCUCUCAAAUGAGCCACUGGAUCCCCAUGUCCGUCAUACAAGUCAAACUUUGGCAUCUUAAAUCCAGCGGGCAGUUGAAAAUCAGGGAACAAGCAUAAGUCCUUGUAAGACACACUUACUUGGCUCCCUAUUCCUUGCAUGUUUCUCAAAGACUGCUCUAGACUCUUCACCUACCUGGAUAUAUCGUCUUGCUCCACAUUCUUAGCAGGCUUUUCAGUUUCAACGGGAGGCUCGAAGUGAGGGCUAUAGCAAUAGGGAUCCGACACCUUGAAAGUUGGUUCUGGAGCAUAGUAUUGGGCAUCAGGAACUUUGAACGCGGGUUCACUAGAAGAUCGAUGGAUGGUAGCUUGUGGAGGAGCUACAAAAACAUGAGUGGUUAAUGGAGUAGGAUAUGAGGUUGUUUUGGCUGGUGGAGCAUGAAGAGGUUGGGACGAUGUGCUAGGGUAGUUGUGGUAAGGGGUAAAGUCUGGUGCAUGUUGUGGGGAAAGAUCGACAGUAGUGGGAAUCUGGGCUUCCGAUAGUAGUGGGAUGGUGGUAGGAUUUUCUAUGUAGUUAGUGGGGAAUGAGAGUGGAGGAUGCCUCCUGAUCCAAGCCUGAUACAUCUCUGUCAUCUGCUGUUUCAACCUUUGGACCUCUUCUUUCAACACAGAUUCCGAUUCCACAAUCUCCCUCGAUGGGUCAACAACACCUGUGACUAAUUCUUUGCUAGCCAUGACUGCCGUGCGCUUUGACCUAGUGUUGUAUGGAUGACUCGCCAGAGUGCCACAAACUAACCACCUUCCUGAAUUAUAAUAAUAAUAAAGAUAACAAAGAGGAGCAAAACUAAGUCAGCAUGUUAGCGUUAGGGCAUUUAUUAGAUAAUAAUAUCGCAUUACGUGCAAUGCACCGAGCAAUAAAUAACGGUUCUAGAAUGACUUUGAGGGUCGUAAGUCAUAUGGCAUCAUCCCAAUUUGCUCGUUCCAACCUUCCUCUUUUAUUUUCUCUUUAACGCUUAUUGGCUUACAUCAUCUUCUUUCCUCUCUAUUUCUUUCUCCUUAUCAUUUUUUUCUUUCCUCUCAUUUCUCACAUCCCAUAACGUCAUCUUUUUUUGUAAAAAAAAUAAUUCGAUCGAACCCGAUGUAGAUUGCCUACGUAUCAAUUUUCACAUGAAUCAGACCAAGCGUAGUUCUGGAAAAGCGUAGUCCUAAAUGAGAAAAAUAAGACCAAAUAGAGUUAGUGACUCAGGACACUAUUUGAGAUAACAACCCUUCCUAUUGGACACAUGCAAGACAUGAUUGAAGCUAUUUUUGCAAAGUGGCCUACGUGGCCAAAAGGUGGCUAGAAGUGCAAACUCGGCUAGGACGACCUCUAAGACAUGGAAAAUACCUCAUGAAGGCCUAUACGGCCCCCAAUCUCCCAGAAAUUACGGUCUCUAAAAUUACUUUACAAAAAUGACCCCACUUUGUAUAAAUGGCCUAUGUGGCAAAAUAUGGCUAAGCAUGCAAACUCAACAGGAAUGGGCCUUAAACUGAGAGGAUGCCUUGUUGUGGACUUAGGACUCUGAGACAUGGGUUAACAAGCUAAUUUUGCGAAAAUAGCCCUAUUUUUCAAAAACAGCUUAUGUGGCCAAGCGUGGCUAGACAUGCAAGACUUGAUUACGACCCCCGAAACCAAGAACUUGAGGCUUACUAGGAAGAUGAGGAAGACCGGACCCAAUGUGGGAUGCCUACGCAUCCCGUCCCGAAAGACGAGAAUCAAGUAUGCGUAGUUCGUGAAAAUUCGAUAUGGGAGAGAAUUUGAAAAAAAAACAACUGAUUUGGAGAAAUAUAUUUUUUGCCCCAAAGAAACAUCGGUCCGCCAAAUGACUUUUUUACCCAUAAAAAUGCAGCAUGUAGCACAUAGGGAUAAUUAAAUAUCUUUUUGGGCCACGGAGCCACUUUGACAUAAUUUGGAUAAGUCUCCUACAAAGGGACACGGUGCCUGGGACCGAGCCCUACUAGGUCUAAAUGAUAUGAUGCAAAUAAGAAUGACAUAAAGGCUGACCUAAGUUUGGGGUUCACUAGACAAGGCAAUUCGGAUUAUGACAAUUUAUAAAGCAGUAAAAACAUAAGGAAAAGCGAUAAACAAAUAAACAACAAAAAACAGAAAAUAAGACAAACAAAUAAAAUAAACAAAGCAAAUAAAGGAAACAAACACCUCAAUCGAAUAUCCUAAAAAGCCAACAAGAUCAAGUGAACCUACAACUCCCCAACAGAGUCAUCAAAGCUGUCACACCCAUUUUUUUCCUUAACCCUCUUUAAAAUAUAUAGAACUGAUAUUUAAGGCUCAAAAGGGUUUACAAAUUCGAAAGUAAUAAGAAUUGUGUUCAAAAGAGAUUUUUUAGAGUCGCCAAAGCUGUCACACCCCUUUUUUUUCCUUAACCCUCUUUAAAAUAUAUAGAAGUGGGUUUUAAGGCUCAAAAGGAUUUUCAAAUUGAAAGUGACAAAAAUUAUGUUCAAAAGAGACUUUUCAGAGUCGCCACUUGACAUAAGAUUUUGAUGUGCCAAGUCACCAUAAAAAGUAAUUUUUCCUUUAAAACACAUUUGACUCCAAACUAAUUUGCCCCAAAGAUUCCAAGUAAGGGGAUUUAUUUAACUCGGAGAGAAGGUGUUAGGCAUUCCCCAAGUCCCGUGAAAGUCACGGCUGCGUACUUGAUUUAAUUGGAUUUAAAAAAAUAUUCUAAUUGAGACAAAAACACACAAAAUCAAAAUAAACACACAAGAGGUUCAACGUUAUCCCCGCCUAAUAAAAGAAGAAGAAAAGAAAAGACAAGAAAAGUCCUAAACUAACCUACACUAUGCUUCCUCCACGAUGCUCAUCACGGCCUCUAAAAUAUUUACCAGUUCUUCCGGGCAUUCUCCGGAUAAUAUAAUUAACUAAAGGGAUAACCUCUCGCCUCAAAAGAAACUAAACAUAAACGCCUUAAAAGUUUACCUACCCAAAUAUGAUCGGCCUAAACAUAAUACUAGCGAAAAAUAAAAAUAAGAAUAAGUAAAUAAGAGAAACUAAAAGAGAAUUCAAUUCAUGAUCAUGUUCAUUUAACUUAUCAACUUCAUGUAUUUAGAUCGAGCCCAAUCCUAGAGCAUGUAGACGAAUUAAACACUAAUGGGCUAAGUCUUUCCCAUUCCCACGUCCCAAAUUAUUCCAACAAAUAUUGUCCAAACAAACACUUAGAAGGUAAAGCAUCUGAAAUAAGUUGAGAACUAGAACAGGACAAAAUAAAAGAAAAUGUGGCUUUAAAGCAUAUUGAGAUACGCUAUUAUUUUACUAUCCCAUUCCUAUAGCACUAUUUUCACAAAUGCCACUCGACUACUAAAAGGCUGAACGAUUAAAUUAACGGGGAACCACAAUUCUUACAAAGAAUGCAACAAUUCUAGUCAUGGAAUGUGGACUCAAUUAAGAAAGAAAUAAGUCAAGCGUGAAACUAGCAUGAAUUCAAACUGACUUUAGACCUCAACUAAACUAUUAGCAUAUUCUAACAGAAAAGAAGAAACCAUCAGAAUGUGAUCCCCAAUCAGCGUAGUAACAAGAUGACAGGGAAAGAAUAUCAAACAAAGUUUUCGGAACUCGCUUCAGCUGAUACUGGCAGACUGAACUCAAAUAUUCACAACAAGCUCAAGAAAAAUACACUAAUAAUCCAUGGAUCGUUUGACAGUUGCAUAGCUGCACAAACCUCAAACAAAGCAUGUCAAAACCAAGCAAAUUUGAGUUUGAUUUACAUUCUUAAACUGAAAGGCUAGCCCGAUAAUGAAUGAAUAAUCACCAAAGUAGAUCUCAAAAACUUAUUUCAAGUUUAGACUUAGCAAACAAACGAGGAUCCUCUGAACUUGUUCCUAAACAUAUCAAGUAUAAAGCAGCUCGACACUAACUUUUACGGAAAGAUAAAAUUCGGUGCUAAUUGACACAAGAAUAGGCAGAGAACAUCAAAAGAUAAUUUCAAACUUCAUAUUUUCAAGUUUAAACUUAACAAAACAAGCAAAAAUAUUCAUGAACUGCAGUAACAUGCUCCAAGAAGGUUUGAACUUAAAUGCGACACCAAAAAUACUCCAAGAGAUUUACCCAACCCAGAAUCAAAUUCGACUCCAACUGAACAUAUUGAAACCAAGCAAAUUUCACAUUAAGAGACAUUUCAAACACACACAAAAUCAUAUCUGCAUAUGAAAGGAAAUUCACCUAGACUGAAAUCUAAUAAAAUUGCUUUUACUAAUAUUCGAGCUUGAUUACUUCACUUAACUAAAUAGAUGACUAGACUGUUCUAAACCAUUUAUCCUUAGGCUCUUAUUAUAAUUUAAAUCAACACCUGAAAAUAGAGAUGCGGAAAUUAGAAGUAACCUGAAUGCAAGAGACUUUGAUUAAUUUUGCUUAAAAUCAAAUAUAGGCGAAUCCGGCAAUGAAAGUCUGAAGAAGACAGCACCUACAAUGCAACAAGAUUCAAGAGCCACGAACUCGACCUUGAAUCAACACUUCGAUCAACCUCGAACCUCAAAUAAUCUCCCUUUCGGAAUUAAAACCAAAAGAAACAACUGGAAUUAGAAUUCAAGCUAACUCGAAAAUUGAAGCCUUUUUUUGUCGUGUAUGUAUUUUUCUUUUUCUUUUUGAUUUUUUUGACUUUUCUGGUGUUUGAAGAAAAACUGAAAGCAGAAUUCCAAAAAAUGAAGAAUCAGAAGAAGACCCCUUUUUUCUGAAACCCUAGCUUUUUUCAAAAAAAAAUUCUCUCUCUGAAUUCGUGUGUGUGUUUUUCUUCCUUGAAAAAUCUGAAAAUCAUCUUUAUCCCCCUCUCGAACCUUCUAUGCUUACUCUAGAAGAAAUCCGAAAAUCAUCUCUAAAAAUCUCAAAAACCUCCAAAAUCCAAAAUUCCCUUUGGAUGGACCGACUUUAGAUAAGUGAAAACCUAUGAUCAAAAUAUCUUUAUCCUUUAGCUCUCAUUUUUCCAAUAUUUGUCCAAGAGAGAAUAAGAAAUAUGAUAAUCACAUGCAGGAAUAUUCUUGUGUCAGAGUUUGUUAGGGUUUGGGUGACGUCGAGAAUGAGAGGGGGACCAUGGGCGAGUGGGUUCGGGUGAUCUCAUCCGAGUUUGGAAAAGAUUGGGUGGUAGACGGCGGCAUAAGGGAAGAGAAGGGUGGUGUGCGGCUAGGUUAGGAAGUUUAAGGUUUGGGUGUGAAAUAUGAUAAAGGGGUUUAUAUUUGGUG
rnacentral:lncRNA from 1 species